AGUGAACGCUGGCGGUAGGCCUAACACAUGCAAGUCGAACGGCAGCACAGUAAGAGCUUGCUCUUACGGGUGGCGAGUGGCGGACGGGUGAGGAAUACAUCGGAAUCUACUUUUUCGUGGGGGAUAACGUAGGGAAACUUACGCUAAUACCGCAUACGACCUACGGGUGAAAGCAGGGGAUCUUCUGACCUUGCGCGAUUGAAUGAGCGGAUGUCGGAUUAGCUAGUUGGCGGGGUAAAGGCCCACCAAGGCGACGAUCCGUAGCUGGUCUGAGAGGAUGAUCAGCCACACUGGAACUGAGACACGGUCCAGACUCCUACGGGAGGCAGCAGUGGGGAAUAUUGGACAAUGGGCGCAAGCCUGAUCCAGCCAUACCGCGUGGGUGAAGAAGGCCUUCGGGUUGUAAAGCCCUUUUGUUGGGAAAGAAAAGCAGCAGGUUAAUACCCCGCUGUUCUGACGGUACCCAAAGAAUAAGCACCGGCUAACUUCGUG
rnacentral:rRNA from 1 species